CUCUUUCCCUAUUUCAGAGCUCACCACUGUAUUCUAAACAGAAGCCAAUAGAGGGAGAAAAACAAAGCCAAGUGCAAAAGCUGUGGGCACUGAAAGUUUUGCUCCACCGGCCGCGCAGCACCCACUUGGGGUCGGGCUUUGGGACUUGGGGGAGUCAGGAGCAGGCGGGGGCUGGGGAGAGGACGAGGCCCUGGGGAGGGGCUGGAAAAGGCUUUUCACAGCGACUGGCACUUGAUAUUUCCAAGUCUUCUGGAUGUCACUCACCGGAAACCAGACCCUGCGGUGCGAAGACUCAGGUGGCAAAGGCAAAAGCUGGACUGCAUUGUGUGGCCCCAGGGAGCUGCAGACAGAGGAACUGAGUCCUGGCCACUGUGCCUGCUGUCUCUUACAAGUUUAGAGAUGCUGGCAUUGCAUCGAAAUCGGACAACACUCCCUUCCCUCCCUUCCCAGAGACUCCCAGCUUUGGUGUCCUUAAGAAAGGGACUUACUGACUUCAUGCAUCUUUCAAGCAAAGAUUAACAACAAUGAUAAUAGAGUAAUAAGUUGGCCUGGAAUCUUGGCAAAACUGAAAACCACAUGUUCUGAGAGUCUCUUCCUGCGCUGGUAAUUAAGUUUCUUCCCCCUACAAAAUGAGACUCUUUUGGACCAACAGGCGUUAGGCAUGUGGACAUCUUGAUGGGAUCCCAUCUUCUCUUUUGAGGAUCAAAUCCUGGCCAACUUUGUUUGAUGUUCAGAGCCCUGUAUGGGAGUCAAAGCCUGCUAAUAAAGCAGUCGUGCCUGUUUGGAGUCAUUCUACAGCUCAGGACUUCAUCCCAGGAGGGAGGUGUAGUGGGUGACUCACUAACUGUAAUAUAAACAACGACAACAAAAGGGUCUCUGAGUCACACUGACAUUGUGGAAUCAAACAUAUAUCUCUGUGCCCUGACCCCCACCAAGGAUGCAGUCACACGGAUGUCCAGUUAUCUUCUAAUCAAUGCCCAGUCCAGAUGGUCACCACCCACCUCUGCAGCAAAAGUCACUGCGCAUUUGGAUAUCUACACAGCUUGUUUGUAACUGAGUUAGUGCAGCCUAGUAAGGUACAGAUGUUUUCCUUUUAAUCCUGUUUGUACUUUGAAAUGGUCACACUCGAUGUCAUUUGGCUGCAGGAAGCUCCUCCAGGAAUGAUCCCGCAAGAGAAAUGGGAUGUGCGUGGCACCAUCUGAUUCGGGGCAGCUCUGUCACUCCCUGCAGAACUGAGCACACUGAAUUUAUUUGAAUAGAACAGGUUAUGAGGGUGAGGAUAAACAUAUCAAUACCUCAUUUUUUUUUUGAACGCCGACUCUAUGAUCGGAUUACCUGGCCCUUCAAGGAGACAAGGUCUUGCUCUGUCACCCAGGCUGGAGUGCAAUGGCACAAUCAUAGCUCAGUCCAGCCUCAACCUCCUGGGCUCCAGCGAUCCUCCCACUUCAGCCUCCUGAGUAACUGGGACCACAGGCACACACCACCGCACCUAACUAAUUUUUUUUAAAAACUUUUU
rnacentral:lncRNA from 1 species